rnacentral:lncRNA from 1 species
CGUCGUCCGAGACCUGCAAGGGAAGCCCAGACCCGAUUCCGGCGUGGAGCUUCGGAGCUUCCCGGACAUCUGACGAACAAAACCGGCGAAGCCCAGAGGGGUUGGGAUCGUGGAGUUAGAUGGCGUCAUCCUCUGGUGGUCCAACGGUGGGACGGAGCGGCGACGGUGGAGGCCGACAUCGACGGUGGAGUGGUGGGCGUGGUGGCUC